rnacentral:other from 1 species
AUUCCCCUGCGCUGAUACGUGAUGAAGUGGUGGUUUUGAGCCAAUGCUAAGUGAACGGGAUACCGGCCUGUGGGUGGUGUGCACGCCUCCCUUGCGGAGGAAGCCUGAAACCCUGCACUGGUAGCCCACCUGGUUAGACCAGGUUCAAAUGCACCCACUCACACGACAUGUGCGGGGGUUUU